rnacentral:snRNA from 1 species
GUACUCAGGCACCACAUACCCAAAAAUAAGAACAAUAUGGAGAUUAAACAGUCCCUACAAAAGGAUGACGUGCAAAUAUGUGAAGCAUUCCAUGUUUUU